GCCCGCUUGGUGGAAUGGUAGACACAACAGACUUAAAAUCUGUCGUCCGCAAGGGCGUGCCAGUUCGACUCUGGCAGCGGGCA
rnacentral:tRNA from 1 species